rnacentral:rRNA from 1 species
CAAGUCGACUGGAAUUCUUCUUCGGAAGAUAGUACGGUGGCGGACGGGUGAGUAACGCGUAAAGAAUUUGCCCUUCAGACUGGGACAACUAAUCGAAAGGUUAGCUAAUACCGGAUAUUAUGAGACCUUGGCAUCAAGGACUUAUGAAAGCUAUAUGCGCUGGAGGAGAACUUUGCGUUCCAUUAGCUAGUUGGUAGGGUAAUGGCCUACCAAGGCGACGAUGGAUAGCCGGCCCGAGAGGGUGAACGGCCACAAGGGGACUGAGACACGGCCCUUACUCCUACGGGAGGCAGCAGUGGGGAAUAUUGGACAAUGGACCAAAAGUCUGAUCCAGCAAUUCUGUGUGCACGAUGAAGGUCUUCGGAUUGUAAAGUGCUUUCAGGUGGGAAGAAGAAAGUGACGGU